GAUUGCAGGCUGCAACUCGCCUGCAUGAAGUCGGAAUUGCUAGUAAUCGCGGAUCAGCAUGCCGCGGUGAAUACGUUCCCGGGCCUUGUACACACCGCCCGUCACACCAUGAGAGCCGGUAAUACCCGAAGUCCGUAGCCUAACCUUUUAGGAGGGCGCGGCCGAAGGUAGGACUGGUAAUUAGGGUGAAGUCGUAACAAGGUACC
rnacentral:rRNA from 1 species